rnacentral:rRNA from 1 species
CGACUCCUACGGGACGCAGCAGUGAGGAAUAUUGGUCAAUGGGCUUACGCCUGAACCAGCCAAGUCGCGUGAGGGAAGACUGCCCUAUGGGUUGUAAACCUCUUUUGUCAGGGAGCAACGCCGGCUACGUGUAGCCGGACUGAGAGUACCUGAAGAAAAAGCAUCGGCUAACUCCGUGCCGGCAGCCGCGGUAAUACGGAGGAUGCGAGCGUUAUCCGGAUUUAUUGGGUUUAAAGUGUGCGUAGGCGGAAUGCCAAGUCA